rnacentral:rRNA from 1 species
AGACGGAGGGUGCAAGCGUUAAUCGGAAUUACUGGGCGUAAAGCGCUCGUAGGCGGCGUGUUAAGUCGGAUGUGAAAGCCCCGGGCUCAACCUGGGAACUGCAUUCGAAACUGGCAGGCUAGAGUAUAGUAGAGGCAAGUGGAAUUCCGGGUGUAGCGGUGAAAUGCGUAGAUAUCCGGAGGAACAUCAGUGGCGAAGGCGACUUGCUGGACUAAUACUGACGCUGAGGAGCGAAAGCGUGGGGAGCAAACGGGAUUAGAAACCCCGGUAGUCC